GAUCAUGGCUCAGGAUGAACGCUGGCGGCGUGCCUAACACAUGCAAGUCGAACGAAGCACUUCCGAUUGGAGAUUCGUCGAAGAUUGGAUUUGACUUAGUGGCGGACGGGUGAGUAAUGUAUGAGCAACCUGCCUUUCAGAGGGGGACAACAGUUGGAAACGACUGCUAAUACCGCAUAAUGUAUUUUGGGGGCAUCCCCGGGAUACCAAAGGAGUAAUCCGCUGAAAGAUGGGCUCAUAUCUGAUUAGUUAGUUGGCAGGGUAACGGCCUACCAAGACUGCGAUCAGUAGCCGGACUGAGAGGUUGAACGGCCACAUUGGGACUGAGAUACGGCCCAGACUCCUACGGGAGGCAGCAGUGGGGAAUAUUGGGCAAUGGGCGAAAGCCCUGACCCAGCAACGCCGCGUGAAGGAAGAAGGUCUUCGGAUUGUAAACUUCUUUUAUGAGGGACGAAGGACGUGACGGUACCUCAUGAAUAAGCCACGGCUAACUACGUGCCAGCCGCGGC
rnacentral:rRNA from 1 species